CCUAGUGGUUAGAGUGUAGAGGAGGUAGGUAGCCUAGUGGUUAGAGUGUAGAGGAGGUAGGUAGCCUAGUGGUUAGAGUGUAGAGGAGGUAGGUAGCCUAGUGGUUAGAGUGUAGAGGAGGUAGGUAGCCUAGUGGUUAGAGUGUAGAGGAGGUAGGUAGCCUAGUGGUUAGAGUGUAGAGGCGGCAGGGUAGCCUAGUGGUUAGAGUGUAGAGGAGGUAGGUAGCCUAGUGGUUAGAGUGUAGAGGAGGUAGGUAGCCUAGUGGUUAGAGUGUAGAGGAGGUAGGUAGCCUAGUGGUUAGAGUGUAGGGGCGGCAGGGUAGCCUAGUGGUUAGAGUGUAGGGGCGGCAGGGUAGCCUAGUGGUUAGAGUGUAGAGGAGGUAGGGUAGCCUAGUGGUUAGAGUGUAGAGGCGGCAGGGUAGCCUAGUGGUUAGAGUGUAGAGGCGGCAGGGUAGCCUAGUGGUUAGAGUGUAGAGGAGGCAGGGUAGCCUAGUGGUUAGAGUGUAGAGGAGGCAGGUAGCCUAGUGGUUAGAGUGUAGAGGAGGUAGGUAGCCUAGUGGUUAGAGUGUAGAGGAGGUAGGUAGCCUAGUGGUUAGAGUGUAGAGGAGGCAGGGUAGCCUAGUGGUUAGAGUGUAGAGGGGGCAGGGUAGCCUAGUGGUUAGAGUGUAGAGGUGGCAGGGUAGCCUAGUGGUUAGAGUGUAGAGGAGGCAGGGUAGCCUAGUGGUUAGAGUGUAGAGGCGGCAGGGUAGCCUAGUGGUUAGAGUGUAGAGGAGGCAGGGUAGCCUAGUGGUUAGAGUGUAGAGGCGGCAGGGUAGCCUAGUGGUUAGAGUGUAGAGGCGGCAGGGUAGCCUAGUGGUUAGAGUGUAGAGGAGGCAGGGUAGCCUAGUGGUUAGAGUGUAGAGGCGGCAGGGUAGCCUAGUGGUUAGAGUGUAGAGGAGGCAGGGUAGCCUAGUGGUUAGAGUGUAGAGGAGGCAGGGUAGCCUAGUGGUUAGAGUGUAGAGGAGGCAGGGUAGCCUAGUGGUUAGAGUGUAGAGGAGGCAGGGUAGCCUAGUGGUUAGAGUGUAGAGGAGGUAGGUAGCCUAGUGGUUAGAGUGUAGAGGAGGUAGGUAGCCUAGUGGUUAGAGUGUAGAGGAGGCAGGGUAGCCUAGUGGUUAGAGUGUAGAGGCGGCAGGGUAGCCUAGUGGUUAGAGUGUAGAGGAGGCAGGUAGCCUAGUGGUUAGAGUGUAGAGGUGGCAGGGUAGCCUAGUGGUUAGAGUGUAGAGGUGGCAGGGUA